AUUAGUUAAUCAAAUAACACCUGCAUGAUGAUGUUAUAUAUAUACAUGUAAGCAAGCAACAUUACCCAUUUUCUCAUCGAUCUAUAUUUGUUUAUAUAAAUUCAUGUAUUAACUUGUAGUAUUUAUAUGAUCAAAGCGUGUAACAAAAAGCUAGUAAUCAAAAAGCAAAACCAAACCCACAAACAAAAGCAAAAGCAAAAAGUAAGAGCAAAAGCUAAGCCAAGCCAGGCCAAGCAAAAAUCUAAAGUUGUCCGGAAAAGCUCUCAUCGAAAGCACAGCCACAACCAAAACCAAAACCCAACUUCACAUUAAAAAAAAAAAAA
rnacentral:lncRNA from 1 species